AAAUUCAAGUGGGAGUACUCCUUCUAAGCUAAAUAUCACCACGAGACCGAUAGCGAACAAGUACCGUGAGGGAAAGUUGAAAAGCACUCUGAAUAGAGAGUCAAACAGUACGUGAAACUGCCUAGGGCUCAAGCCCGUUGAACUCGAUUAUCCGAGCGGAGACAUUCACCUGCGGCCGGGGCGGUCACGUGCCGUUCCGCCGCAGGGCACUUGUCUCUUCCGCGCACGAGGACACUGCGAUCCAUUACGAAACAGCUUUCGCGUCGCAAGACGCGCAGGUCGCCCGACAGUUGCCCCCUGGUGCUUGGUUGCUUGCCCCACAGUAGCGACGCUCAGUUCUGAAGGCCUGUGCCGCGAGGUGGGGCUUACUGCACGUGGUGUUUGCAGUCGGGCGCGUGAUGGAUUCCCGCGUACACCGGACCGGGGCCGGCCCCUCUUUGCCCCGUCCGGACUGUCGAUCGGCAGUGAAAGAAUCGAGGUACCUUCGGGACCCGUCUUGAAACACGGAAAGAAAUUUCAC
rnacentral:rRNA from 1 species